CAGAAAACAAGAUGUAUUUAAAAAUAAGAAUAUCAAGUAAAUAUUAACAGAAGAUAUAUAACAAAUGACCUCCAAAUGCAACACUAGUUACUUUUACAGCAGGGAGAUUCACAGUUCGCAAAAGAUUACCAGUUUCAGGAUCCACAUUAAGCACCUGUUCGUUCAAUCAAUUAUUGUUCCAUAUAUAGUCAAAAUCAAAUGCUGCCACCUGACGAGUAGGUGUAUCAAUGUAAUAAAGUGUAUUAUCCUGGAGAUUCCAAGCUAAUCCAUUA